AGGGUUUGAUCCUGGCUCAGAAUGAACGUUGGCGGCGUGGAUUAGGCAUGCAAGUCGAGCGCUCAUCAGCAAUGGUGGGAGCGGCGAACGGCGUAGUAAUGUGUAGGAACGUACCCUCUGGACGGGGAUAGCUACGGGAAACUGUAGGUAAUACCCGAUGAACUCUGCGGAGCAAAGGUGUGAUUCCGCCGGAGGAGCGGCUUACAUGAUAUUAGCUAGUUGGUGAGGUAAUGGCUCACCAAGGCGAUGAUGUCUAGGGGGUGUGAGAGCAUGGCCCCCACGACCGGAACUGAGAUACUGUCCGGACACCUACGGGUGGCUGCAGUCGAGAAUCUUCCGCAAUGGACGAAAGUCUGACGGAGCGACGCCGCGUGCGGGAUGAAGGCCCUUGGGUUGUAAACCGCUGUCAGAGGGGAUGAAAUCUCCGGAGGUUCUCCUCCGGAGUUGACAGAGCCUCAGAGGAAGCACGGGCUAAGUAUGUGCCAGCAGCCGCGGUAAUACAUACUGUGCGAACGUUAUUCGGAAUCACUGGGCUUAAAGGGUGCGUAGGCGGUGGUUCAAGUCAGAUGUGAAAUGCCUGAGCUCAACUGAGGCAUUGCGUUUGAAACUGGAUCGCUUGAGUAUCCCAGGGGUGUGCGGAACUGCCAGUGGAGCGGUGAAAUGUGUUGAUAUUGGCAGGAACACCGGAGGCGAAAGCGGCACACUGGGGGAUAACUGACGCUGAGGCACGAAAGCCAGGGUAGCGAACGGGAUUAGAUACCCCGGUAGUCCUGGCUGUAAACGAUGAGCACUGGGCGGGAGGAGGUUCGCCUCUUCCUGCCGUAGCGAAAGCGUUAAGUGCUCCGCCUGGGGAGUAUGGUCGCAAGGCUGAAACUCAAAGGAAU
rnacentral:rRNA from 1 species